CCCUUUCGGGUAGGGGUAAGGCCCGUCUACAUAUUACCCUCCCCAGACCCCACUUUGUGGGACUAUACUGGGUAGUUGUUGUUGUUGUAUAGUAUCUAGUUUUCAGAAGAUUAUAGUUGUAGUUAGUGAAAAGGCAUUUCAUAACAGGUAUCUCAUUCUCCCAUUGAAGUUAAUUCGGUUUUGCUGGGCACUAGUCUUUGUGUUUUGUAUUUAUUUUUAAACAAAUACAGUACUUGUCUUUAGAUGUAUCUGUCACUUUGCGAAUAAACUGAACCUGUAUUGAAAAAUGCUUUUUGUUUUCCUUUGAAGCCAUGUCCUUGUAUGCAUGGAUUCAAUGUUAUCUUUUGCUGUAUUAAGCUGGUUAUAUCGCCUAGUUUUAAGAAGGUUACAAUACUAUUAUCAAAGACGAAAAACACAAAAAACCUCUAAGGUCUGAUGAGGCUUUAAGCGCAAAUAAAGCGUGGGUUUUAAUGAAAAAAUGCACAAAAAGAGAAAAAUCAAAUAUGUAUGUAUAGUAAAAGACUAAUAAUUAUAAGCAUGAAUAAAAAAAUAUAAAGACAAGAAAUUGAAAAAAGUUAUGAUAAAGUGAAAUAUUAAUUGCUUAGCGUCACUUCUUCGAUUACGUUGUCGCUCGUUGGCAAGGAAAAGAAUGACUUAGAGCCUUGAUGACAAUAGUGAUUUCCCCGCAAAGUGAGGCGAAACGCUCAACAUGUUUUGCACCUCGCUUUAGGCUUAAGUGCGCAUUGACAACACCGGUUAUUUUUUUCUUUUUAUUGAACCGAAAACGAAAUUUAAGGGAGGUAUUCUG
rnacentral:lncRNA from 1 species